rnacentral:rRNA from 1 species
AGUUGGUGGAGCGAUUUGUCUGGUUAAUUCCGAUAACGAACGAGACUCUAGCCUAUUAAAUAGUUCGCGGAUUCCAAUUUGUCCGUGUUAACUUCUUAGAGGGACAAGGGGCGUUUAGCCCCACGAGAUUGAGCAAUAACAGGU